rnacentral:rRNA from 1 species
UGACAUAUACUGUUGUGUCGAUAUUUUCUCCUCGGACCUUGAAAAUUUAUGGUGGGGACACGCAAACUUCUCAACAGGCCGUACCAAUAUCCGCAGCUGGUCUCCAAGGUGAAGAGUCUCUAGUCGAUAGAAUAAUGUAGGUAAGGGAAGUCGGCAAAUUAGAUCCGUAACUUCGGGAUAAGGAUUGGCUCUGAAGAUUGAGAUAGUCGGGCUUGAUUGGGAAACAAUAACAUGGUUUAUGUGCUCGUUCUGGGUAAAUAGAGUUUCUAGCAUUUAUGUUAGUUACUUGUUCCCCGGAUAGUUUAGUUACGUAGCCAAUUGUGGAACUUUCUUGCUAAAAUUUUUAAGAAUACUAUUUGGGUUAAACCAAUUAGUUCUUAUUAAUUAUAACGAUUAUCAAUUAACAAUCAAUUCAGAACUGGCACGGACUUGGGGAAUCCGACUGUCUAAUUAAAACAAAGCAUUGUGAUGGCCCUAGCGGGUGUUGACACAAUGUGAUUUCUGCCCAGUGCUCUGAAUGUCAAAGUGAAGAAAUUCAAGUAAGCGCGGGUCAACGGCGGGAGUAACUAUGACUCUCUUAAGGUAGCCAAAUGCCUCGUCAUCUAAUUAGUGACGCGCAUGAAUGGAUUAACGAGAUUCCUACUGUCCCUAUCUACUAUCUAGCGAAACCACAGCCAAGGGAACGGGCUUGGAAUAAUUAGCGGGGAAAGAAGACCCUUUUGAGCUUGACUCUAAUCUGGCAGUGUAAGGAGACAUAAGAGGUGUAGAAUAAGUGGGAGAUAUUAGACCUCGGUUUGGUAUCGUCAAUGAAAUACCACUACUCUUAUUGUUUCCUUACUUACUUGAUUAAAUGGAACGUGUAUCAUUUCCUAGCCAUUAUACGGAUAUAUUUAUUAUAUCUUAUGGUAUUGGGUUUUGAUGCAAGCUUCUUGAUCAAAGUAUCACGAGUUUGUUAUAUAAUCGCAAACAAAUUCUUUAAUAAAACGAUGCAUUUAUGUAUUUUUGAUUUGAAAAUUUGGUAUAACUCCAAUUACUCAGGUAUGAUCCAAUUCAAGGACAUUGCCAGGUAGGGAGUUUGACUGGGGCGGUACAUCUCUCAAAUAAUAACGGAGGUGUCCCAAGGCCAGCUCAGUGCGGACAGAAACCACACAUAGAGCAAAAGGGCAAAUGCUGACUUGAUCUCGGUGUUCAGUACACACAGGGACAGCAAAAGCUCGGCCUAUCGAUCCUUUUGGUUUAAAGAGUUUUUAACAAGAGGUGUCAGAAAAGUUACCAUAGGGAUAACUGGCUUGUGGCGGCCAAGCGUUCAUAGCGACGUCGCUUUUUGAUCCUUCGAUGUCGGCUCUUCCUAUCAUUGUGAAGCAAAAUUCACCAAGCGUUGGAUUGUUCACCCAUGCAAGGGAACGUGAGCUGGGUUUAGACCGUCGUGAGACAGGUUAGUUUUACCCUACUAAUGACAAAACGUUGUUGCGACAGCAUUCCUGCGUAGUACGAGAGGAACCGCAGGUACGGACCAAUGGCACAAUACUUGUUCGAGCGAACAGUGGUAUGACGCUACGUCCGUUGGAUUAUGCCUGAACGCCUCUAAGGUCGUAUCCGUGCUGGACUGCAAUGAUAAAUAAGGGGCAAUUUGCAUUGU